rnacentral:rRNA from 1 species
UACGGGGGGAGCAAGCGUUGUUCGGAAUUAUUGGGCGUAAAGGGCGCGUAGGCGGCCUGGCAAGUGGAAGGUGAAAUCCCUCGGCUUAACCGAGGAACUGCCUCCCAAACUGCUUGGCUUGAGACCGGGAGAGGUGAGUGGAAUUCCCAGUGUAGCGGUGAAAUGCGUAGAUAUUGGGAGGAACACCAGUGGCGAAGGCGGCUCACUGGACCGGUACUGACGCUGAUGCGCGAAAGCGUGGGGAGCAAACGGG